GUUUGGACAGGGUUGGAGGGGUUCAAUAUCAGGACCCGUCAUUGUACAAUACAAUGCAACCGACAUCAUGUAGAACAGAUUACUGCUGGACACCGUUCUGACCUGGCUGGACUUGUCCAACCUGUGUUUACAGGCCUCAGGUGUAGGUGCAAAAUAUGUCAAGAUGAUCUUCUUGUCCUGCAGUGAGUAUACACAUGGGUGAGGGUCCACACCAUACGUCUCCAGCUCCUGGGCCUUCUGCAGGAAGUUCAGCUCGGACUCUUCUGGAGUCUGUCCUCUGGGAGAUGAGGACACAACAGACAGAUUACUGUGGGCUGUGUGAUGAUGGAUGGAAAAGCUUCCAGCGGUAAGCUAAUGAUUUGUAAAGUGAAUUUCCUUUCAUUCAUUUCAGUGAGUGAAAGAUGAGAGAGACCAACACUAGAGGGCAGCAGAGGGAAGAUCCCAUAGGUGGUCUACAGUAGUAGAGUCUGUAUAUAUGGAUACUGCAUAUACUGUGAAGGGGGAGCGGAGAGAGAGAGAGAGAGCCUCUUGAGGGUGAUGUGAUGUUCAGCUGACUGGCAGAGUUGUCCCAGGUUGCCACAAACUAAUGACACAGCAGUACAGUACUGAGAAAAACACACACCCACACCCGUACACACGCACGCACGCACACACACACUCUGAAGGUCACUGCGGUCCCUUCACCCACUAUCCAUAAGCAGGAAGAGUUCGACAAAUAGCAGCUAGGAAAAUAUUGUAUAUUCAGCAUAUGAUGUGGAUAUGAAAUUGCAUAUCUACGGCUAAGCUAGGGUCAUGCAUAAUGUAUCUCAUCAACAUAUCUAUUUUCAUCAUGGCUGUAACAUUCUAUCUAGGAGAGAUAGGAUGAUCUUGUAUCAAGUUAGGUCCACAAUCAUCAUGCUGAUGAUGACACUAUAUUCAAUUACAAGCGCUAUGUCAAAUAUCAUAAUCACCUGGUAGAGAGAGAGAGAGAGAGAGAGAGAGAGAGAGAGAGAGAGAGAGAGAGAGAGAGAGAGAGAG